rnacentral:tmRNA from 1 species
GCCAUUGCGGCGACGGUUGGGCGCGCCUAUAUCCGGAUCGUCGGCUUCCAGCCGGCUAUGGCGAUAAACUGCGGCGUGAAAUAGGCGCAGCGGACCCGGGGGCAGUACCCGGCGGCUCCACCAUCGCAGCUGAUCCGCAUGGCGCCACGCAUGAAGCGUGUCGCCGGGCGACUCAGCUUCGCUGAUGGGGCCGAACCAGGAUCGACGUGUGUUGAAAGGCGCUGUUUUCGCUCGGAAUGGGACCACCGCAACGGCCCAUUACACAAGUGCCAACGAUAACGAAGCACUCGCGAUUGCGGCGUAACUGAGGGCCUCGCGGCCUAAGGUUACACCAAGAUAGCGCGGUCGGACCCCACCGGGCAACAGAAGGGGACUCCA